AUUGAACGCUGGCGGCAGGCCUAACACAUGCAAGUCGAGCGAGCGGCGGACGGUGGAGUACUGUCUGGGAAACUGCCUGAUGGAGGGGGAUAACUACUGGAAACGGUAGCUAAUAACGCAUACCAUGAGAUGUGCCCAGAUGGGAUUAGCUGGGAGGUGGGGUAACGGCUCACCUAGGCGACGAUCCGUAGCUGGUCUGAGAGGAUGACCAGCCACACUGGAACUGAGACACGGUCCAGACUCCUACGGGAGGCAGCAGUGGGGAAUAUUGCACAAUGGGCGCAAGCCUGAUGCAGCCAUGCCGCGUGUGUGAAGAAGGUCUUCGGGUUGUAAAGCACUUUCGGCGGGGAGGCGUUACCCGCAGAAGAAGCACCGGCUAACUCCGUGCCAGCAGCCGCGGUAAUUC
rnacentral:rRNA from 1 species